GAUGUGCGUGCAAAUGUCCCUUGAAUGUGAAUAUAAGUCUAAAUUUAAACAGUUAUAUUAUAUAGAGCGAUCGUGUCUCUUUAGGGCGCUUGGAGGAAACCACGCAAUUCAUAUGGAUUACUUUGGCGAUGUUUUUUUGCGAUGACCUUUUUGAAACGUGAACAUCUUAGAUGAAUCUUUUCAUCGGAGGGACAUCUCUCAGAUUUCAUUAAAAUAUCUUCGCUUUUCUUUCGAAGAUGAACGAAAGUCUUGGUUUGUAGCAUCUUAAGGCUUCUGCGAGCGUGUAUGGCGUCUGGCUUCAGAACCUCACUGUGACUUCAGAUAAGAAUGAUAAGAAAGAUUAAAUUGUAAGAAGGGUUACUUAUAAAAGCAUACAGU